AUUGAACGCUGGCGGCAGGCCUAACACAUGCAAGUCGAGCGGAUGAAGGGAGCUUGCUCCUGGAUUCAGCGGCGGACGGGAGAGUAAUGCCUAGGAAUCUGCCUGGUAGUGGGGGAUAACGUCCGGAAACGGGCGCUAAUACCGCAUACGUCCUGAGGGAGAAAGUGGGGAGUCUUAGGACCCCACGCUAUCAGAUGAGUCUAGGUCGGAUUAGCUAGUUGGUAGGGUAAAGGCCUACCAAGGCGACGAUCCGUAACUGGUCUGAGAGGAUGAUCAGUCACACUGGAACUGAGACACGGUCCAGACUCCUACGGGAGGCAGCAGUGGGGAAUAUUCGACAAUGGGGGAAAGCCUGAUCCAGCCAUGCCGCGUGUAUGAAGAAGGUCUUCGUAUUGUAAAGCACUUUAAGUUGGGAGGAAGGGCAGUAAGUUAAUACCUUGCUGUUUUGACGUUACCAACAGAAUAAGCACCGGCUAACUUCGUG
rnacentral:rRNA from 1 species